GGAAGGGAACUGCUGGUCCGGGGGAUCUCCAGCAAGGACGCUUAAUCAUAGGAUCUGAAGAGCAGAGGGGCGAGCAGGCCUUGCGGCAGUGUGCCCCCCCCCAUGCCCCACAUGGAACGGCUGAGCCCGGGCUCGUGCUGUGCAGCACCCACAGACAUCACAGCGAGCAGCGACCACUUUCCAGAAACAGGCCGUUUGUUAGCACGUGCUCGCUCAAAAGUAAACAGCUCGUUAAGCCCCAUUUCCUUUAUUGUUUCACGUAGCACCUAUGGAGAAUCACAAUGAAAGUUAUCCUUCCGGAAGCCGCGGUGUAAACGCUUUGCACGCACAGGAAUUCAAAUAACGCAAUCACCGCCGCAUCUUAUGAGGCUCUGCAGCACGUCCUGCAACACCACCUUCCCCUCCUCAGAUGCUGCAGCGCUGUUGCAGUCACUGUCCGGCAAACACAACGUGGAACAAGAAGCAAAACCACCCGGGCUUACAGCGCGAACCUACACUACAACAUACAAUCGUGUCUGUGACACAUGGGCUCAGGUUCCCGACUGUGAGGCACGCGGAAAAUGGAGAAUUCUUUUCUGCAAUCGCCAAAAAAAGGUUCUGUUCCCCGAUUUUCACAAGUCCGGCUCCUGACGAUAUGUGCGUGUAUCUAUUUGUCGUUAUGCGGGCACACCCGCGAGCCGCGCUCCGGGCACGGCAGUGAGGAGAGCUCUGAAGAGAAACGGCCACGCGCGGCUCCUUUGUCUGCCGGGCCGGGCCCCGCCCGCGCGGCCUCACACGACCCCGUCCGCCGCCCCUCCCUCGCUCUCCGCCUCUCCUCGCUCAGGCUCUCGGCCGUGCCUGCAGGGGGGCGGAGGCCUAUUUUUAGACGCCCUCAGGAGGCCUCUCCGCUGAGAGCUCCCGCGCUCCGCGAGGUUGUCACCCGCCAGCG
ensembl:lncRNA